AUUGAACGCUGGCGGCAGGCUUAACACAUGCAAGUCGAGCGGGGUGAUGGUGCUUGCACUAUCACUUAGCGGCGGACGGGUGAGUAAUGCUUAGGAAUCUGCCUAUUAGUGGGGGACAAUAUCUCGAAAGGGAUGCUAAUACCGCAUACGUCCUACGGGAGAAAGCAGGGGAUCACUUGUGACCUUGCGCUAAUAGAUGAGCCUAAGUCGGAUUAGCUAGUUGGUGGGGUAAAGGCCUACCAAGGCGACGAUCUGUAGCGGGUCUGAGAGGAUGGUCCGCCACACUGGGACUGAGACACGGCCCAGACUCCUACGGGAGGCAGCAGUGGGGAAUAUUGGACAAUGGGGGGAACCCUGAUCCAGCCAUGCCGCGUGUGUGAAGAAGGCCUUAUGGUUGUAAAGCACUUUAAGCGAGGAGGAGGCUCUUUUGGUUAAUACCCAGAAUGAGUGGACGUUACUCGCAGAAUAAGCACCGGCUAACUCUGUGCCAGCAGCCGCAGUAACAC
rnacentral:rRNA from 1 species